GGGUCCGACCUGGCUUCGACGUGGGUGCGGAGUCGGCGCGGGGCAUGCCGAGCACCAGUCAGCUCGUAAAUCCAUCUGGAAACAAAGUAACUGCGAACGAUCAAACGUACGCCCUCGCCGCUUAAAACCGGUGAGCCUUGCAACAGUUCUCCUAUGGGCUGGGUUUGAGGUGGCAACACCAAUAACUGCAAGGUCAUUUACAUAGGAUCGUGCCGCUGUGUGUCAUUCACAGCGGACCUAAAACCAAAUGACUCGGGGCCAAGGUAGCGUGCUGCUGCGCGACCAAGGCACUUAAAUCCAAAUCAGACAGCUACGCAUGUAGAACCGUCCGGCGAUGGCUUGCGGACGGGGGUUCGAUUCCCCCCGGAUCCACCA
rnacentral:tmRNA from 1 species